rnacentral:snRNA from 1 species
CUUGCUUCUUUGCCUUUUGGCUAAGACAAGUAUAGUAUCUAUUCUUAUCAGUUUAAUAUGUGAUACAUCCUCUAUUCAUGGACAAUAUAUAAAGUGAAUUUUUGGAGCAGGGAGAUGGAGUAGGAACUGACCCAGUCCAUUCCAGGCAUCAACCUGGUACUGUAGUGCCUCUAGAACAACACAUCAAAG